CCUGAGUACGACGGAGCACGUGAAAUUCCGUCGGAAUCUGGGAGGACCAUCUCCUAAGGCUAAAUACUCUCUAGUGACCGAUAGUGAACCAGUACCGUGAGGGAAAGGUGAAAAGCACCCCGGAAGGAGAGUGAAAUAGAACCUGAAACCGUGUGCUUACAAGUAGUCAGAGCCCGUUAAUGGGUGAUGGCGUGCCUUUUGUAGAAUGAACCGGCGAGUUACGAUUUGAUGCAAGGUUAAGCAGUAAAUGUGGAG
rnacentral:rRNA from 1 species